rnacentral:rRNA from 1 species
GACGAACGCUGGCGGCGUGCCUAAUACAUGCAAGUAGAACGCUGAAGAGAGGAGCUUGCUCUUCUUGGAUGAGUUGCGAACGGGUGAGUAACGCGUAGGUAACCUGCCUUGUAGCGGGGGAUAACUAUUGGAAACGAUAGCUAAUACCGCAUAACAAUGGAUGACACAUGUCAUUUAUUUGAAAGGGGCAAUUGCUCCACUACAAGAUGGACCUGCGUUGUAUUAGCUAGUAGGUGAGGUAAUGGCUCACCUAGGCGACGAUACAUAGCCGACCUGAGAGGGUGAUCGGCCACACUGGGACUGAGACACGGCCCAGACUCCUACGGGAGGCAGCAGUAGGGAAUCUUCGGCAAUGGGGGCAACCCUGACCGAGCAACGCCGCGUGAGUGAAGAAGGUUUUCGGAUCGUAAAGCUCUGUUGUAAGUCAAGAACGGGUGUGAGAGUGGAAAGUUCACACUGUGACGGUAGCUUACCAGAAAGGGACGGCUAACUACGU